CCCUUAGAUGUUCUGGGCUGCACACGUGCUACACUCGCAGGUUCAGCGAGCUUCAUGCCCUGAUCUGAAAGGAAUGGGAAAUCUUUUCAAAACCUGCCGUGCUUGGGAUAGAUGUUUGCAAUUAUUCAUCUUCAACGAGGAUUGCCUUGUAAGCGCACGUCAUCAGCGUGCAUUGAAUACGACCCUGUAUUCUGUACACACCGCCCGUCGCUCCUACCGAUUGAAGUUUUCGGUGAGUUGACAGGAGGAUUUUUUUGAAACUGGUUCGCCAGUGGAUUUUAGAUCCAAAUGCCAACGAAUCGAUGGCUUUAGAGGAAGGAGAAGUCGUAACA
rnacentral:rRNA from 1 species